ensembl:lncRNA
AAAGGCCAAAGUCACGCUACCUGCAGGAGCCAGCUGGAAGAGUCCAGACCACUACGGGCCCGCCGCAACACUUUUUUGAAGGUGUGGACACUGAUGACGAGGCACCACCCCCCCCAAGAAAAACAGCACGACAAUCUGUAGAUGUAGGGCCAGACAUCAGUAGUGAGUGGCUAUUUGGGCCAUCGACCACCCAAAGAGCUCAAUCAAAUGGCAGCCAGAGACUUGAGCUACUACAUAUAGAUAGUCCAACCAAGCCACCAGCUAUUGCAUGAUAUGGGAAUAUCUAAAGUCGUGGAGCUGCUUUCCAAAGUGCUGGAAGAAAAUAAAUUGAUGAAAGCAGAAAUUACCAACCUGGGGAGUGAAGUGAGGGCGCUUAGGAGAGAGAUGGUGAGGCCGGUAGCACCAGAAGCUGCCGCUUCGUCCAUCAAGCUGCCUCUGAGGACAAUGGAGGAGUUUCAAUUAGCAGAGGCUGUUAUGAGAGAAACCCCCUGCGAAAAACAAAAGAUGAUCUUAACAUUCAGUCUAAUUGGAGGGCACACUGCAGAAGAGGCCGUAAGAAGGAUGUUGCAGAGUGGCCUAACAAAUAACCUGGCGUGUCGCUUCAACUGGGCAGGGAAAGGCUUCAAGGAAGCCUUUAAAAGCACUGUCCUUAGUGAUGUACUGUUCGCUGCACUACAAAAACAGCUGCCAGGGACCACCCAUAUUGUUUUUUCAGGGACACUGAAGAAGUGGCUUAAAUAUGCACCGGAGAGAGAGGGAGGUGGAGGGAGGCGAACAAAUGAACGCGAUCAGGUUUGAAUUAUGGCAGGAAACUGGCUCCAUACAAUGCGCCGCAGGAUCCUCGACCAUGAAUGAAUGUGUGUGUGUAAAUAAUAAUUAUAUUCGUUAGAAUAAUAGGGUUAUUUGGGGUUGGGUUGUUCGUGUUCGGUUAUCACGUUGUAUUGUUCAUUAUUGUCGCCAUCGUUGUUGUGUCAUGUUUGUUUGUUGGGUGCUCUAUGUGAGAGGAUUUUAAUAAAAGUAGUCUGCGUCGAGGGGUGUACGGGGCGCAGAACUACA